UGCUAUGUAAUAAAGUGCUUACAGUGCAGGUAAUGGUUAUGUCCUACCUACCGCAAUGUGAGCACUUCUGUCACAAGGCA
rnacentral:pre_miRNA from 1 species